GAUGAACGCUGACAGAAUGCUUAACACAUGCAAGUCAACUUGAAGCAACUUCGGUUGUGGAAAGUGGCGGACGGGUGAGUAACGCGUAAAGAACUUGCCCUUCAGUCUGGGACAACCAUUGGAAACGAUGGCUAAUACCGGAUAUUAUGGAACUCUCGCAUGGGAGGAUCAUGAAAGCUAUAUGCGCUGAAGGAGAGCUUUGCGUUCCAUUAGCUAGUUGGUGAGGUAACGGCUCACCAAGGCGACGAUGGAUAGCCGGCCUGAGAGGGUGAUCGGCCACAAGGGGACUGAGACACGGCCCUUACUCCUACGGGAGGCAGCAGUGGGGAAUAUUGGACAAUGGACCAAAAGUCUGAUCCAGCAAUUCUGUGUGCACGAUGAAGGUUUUCGGAUCGUAAAGUGCUUUCAGUUGGGAAGAAGAAAGUGACGGUACCAACAGAAGAAGCGACGGCUAAAUACGUGCCAGCAGCCGCGGUAAUACGUAUGUCGCAAGCGUUAUCCGGAUUUAUUGGGCGUAAAGCGCGUCUAGGCGGGUUCAUAAGUCUGAUGUUAAAAUGCGGGGCUCAACUCCGUAUUGCGUUGGAAACUGUGAACCUAGAGUAUCAGAGAGGUGGGCGGAACUACAAGUGUAGAGGUGAAAUUCGUAGAUAUUUGUAGGAAUGCCGAUGGAGAAGUCAGCUCACUGGAUGAAUACUGACGCUAAAGCGCGAAAGCGUGGGUAGCAAACAGG
rnacentral:rRNA from 1 species